rnacentral:rRNA from 1 species
UCCAGACUCCUACGGGAGGCAGCAGUGAGGAAUAUUGGUCAAUGGGCGCGAGCCUGAACCAGCCAAGUCGCGUGAGGGAAGACGGUCCUAUGGAUUGUAAACCUCUUUUGCCGGGGAGCAAGCGUGCGUUCGUGAACGCACGUCGAGAGUACCCGGAGAAAAAGCAUCGGCUAACUCCGUGCCAGCAGCCGCGGUAAUACGGAGGAUGCGAGCGUUAUCCGGAUUUAUUGGGUUUAAAGGGUGCGUAGGCGGGAUGCCAAGUCAGCGGUAAAAAUGCGGUGCUCAACGCCGUCGAGCCGUUGAAACUGGCGUUCUUGAGUGGGCGAGAAGUAUGCGGAAUGCGUGGUGUAGCGGUGAAAUGCAUAGAUAUCACGCAGAACUCCGAUUGCGAAGGCAGCAUACCGGCGCCCUACUGACGCUGAGGCACGAAAGCGUGGGUAUCGAACAGGAUUAGAUACCCUCGUA